AACGAACGCUGGCGGCAUGCCUAACACAUGCAAGUCGAACGAUGCCUUCGGGCAUAGUGGCGCACGGGUGAGUAACGCGUGGGAACCUGCCCUGUGGUACGGAAUAACUCCGGGAAACUGGAGCUAAUACCGUAUGUGUCCCCUGGGACAAAGAUUUAUCGCCACGGGAGGGGCCCGCGUAGGUUUAGCUUGUUGGUGGGGUAACGGCCUACCAAGGCUACGAUCCUUAGCUGGUCUGAGAGGAUGAUCAGCCACACUGGGACUGAGACACGGCCCAGACUCCUGCGGGAGGCGGGAGUGGGGAAUAUUGGAGAGUGGGCGCAAGGCUGAUACAGCAAUGCCGCGUGAGUGAUGAAGGCCUUCGGGUUGGAAAGCUCUUUCGAACGCGACGAUGAUGACGGUAGCGGGAGAAGAAGCCCCGGCUAACUUCGUG
rnacentral:rRNA from 1 species